UGGGGAGUCGUCUAAUGGUAGGACUGCAGACUCUGGAUCUGCCUAUUGGGGUUCGAGUCCCUGCUCCCCAG
rnacentral:tRNA from 1 species